rnacentral:pre_miRNA from 1 species
UUUAAGUGCAGCCAUGUUUUUCCGUGCUAAACUUUGAUCGUCCGUCUUAUUUAAUUUUUUUUAAAAAAAUAAAAACAUAAGUCACACAUAAAGUACUAUUCAUGUUUUAUCAUCUCAUAACAACAAAAAUACUAAUUAUAAAAAAAAUUCAAAUAAGACGGACUAUUAAAAUUAGGCACGAAAACUUAUGGUUGCACUUAAA